AUUGAACGCUGGCGGCAUGCUUUACACAUGCAAGUCGAACGGCAGCGCGGGCUUCGGCCUGGCGGCGAGUGGCGAACGGGUGAGUAAUACAUCGGAACGUGCCCAGUAGUGGGGGAUAGCUCGGCGAAAGCCGGAUUAAUACCGCAUACGACCUGAGGGUGAAAGCGGGGGAUCUUCGGACCUCGCGCUAUUGGAGCGGCCGAUGGCAGAUUAGCUAGUUGGUGGGGUAAAGGCCUACCAAGGCGACGAUCUGUAGCUGGUCUGAGAGGACGACCAGCCACACUGGGACUGAGACACGGCCCAGACUCCUACGGGAGGCAGCAGUGGGGAAUUUUGGACAAUGGGCGAAAGCCUGAUUCAGCAAUGCCGCGUGUGUGAUGAAGGCCUUCGGGUUGUAAAGCACUUUUGGCGGGAACGAAAAGGACUGUGCCAAUACCACGGUUCGAUGACGGUACCCGCAGAAUAAGCACCGGCUAACUACGUG
rnacentral:rRNA from 1 species